GCUUAACACCGAGAACAUACUGCUUAAAGGCAGAGCGGUGGCGAAGUGAAACGAGCCAUCACGCAUACAUAAAGUGAUUAUCAAGCAAAAUGUUUUGGGUGUUGAGCUUUGGAUAGUGGCGAACGGGUGAGUAACGCGUAGGCAAUCUGCCUUCUAGAUGGGGACAACAUCCCGAAAGGGGUGCUAAUACCGAAUGUUGUACCGUUUCCGCAUGGAGAUGAUACUAAAGGUGGCCUCUGAAUAUGCUACCGCUAGAAGAUGAGCCUGCGUCUGAUUAGCUAGUUGGAGGGGUAACGGCCCACCAAGGCUUCGAUCAGUAGCCGGUCUGAGAGGAUGAACGGCCACACUGGGACUGAGACACGGCCCAGACUCCUACGGGAGG
rnacentral:rRNA from 1 species